UGGAGGUAGUGACAAUAAAUCACAAUGCGGGACUGUUAGUCUUGCAAUUGGAUUGAGAACAACGUACAACUCUUAUCGAUAAGCCAUUGGAGGGCAAGUCUGGUGCCAGCAGCCGCGGUAAUUCCAGCUCCAAUAGCGUAUAUUAACGUUGUUGCAGUUAAAAAGCUCGUAGUUGAAGUGAGGGAGUGUGUGUUCAUGAGAGCUAGUCUCGAGUGUUCACAACCUCCCCCCUCCAAUCGGUGUAGUGGGGUAUUCAGUUAUUUCACUACUCCUUUGGUCGUUUACUGUGAGAAAAUUAGAGUGUUCAAAGCGGGCGUUUGUUUGAAUAGAUUAGCAUGGAAUAAUGAUUGAAGGCUUUCGUGUUCGAUUUGAUUGGUUUGUUCAUGGAAGCAAGGUUAAAAGGAACAGUUGGGGGUAUUCAUAUUCACUAGUUAGAGGUGAAAUUCUCGGAUUUAUGGAAGAUGAACAAGUGCGAAAGCAA
rnacentral:rRNA from 1 species